ACGUAGCAUAUGAAUAAUUCAUUUAUGGAGCCAUCAGAACCUCAUGGAGUUUAAGCGUGGACCUCUAACUCUCAGAGCAGGGAGCCUCCCGAGCCACGACUGCAGGCUGCAUGCUGAAUACCAGCUGGAAUUUGAAGUACCUUUCAGUCAUUUGGAAAAUUGUUCUAAAAUUAGAAACUACUUAAUAAUUUUUUGUGAAUUUCAUAAAGUAAUUUGAAGUCAAAACCAAUACCAACAUGAAAGGGUAACAACUCAGUGGAGCUCAAGAAGCAAAAGAGGCAAUUUCAGCAGUGUCUGGAUCUGUUUUGAAAUGUGUAAUGCCUUCAACAUUGCCCAGACUUUAUGAAAAUUGUGAGUAGUGCAAGUUGGCACAUCCAAAGCAUGCAUACGAGAAACAGCACAAGAUUCAGAUGACAAAGGGAUGAAAGACAAUAAUGAAUCAUUUACUAUAAGUACUGACAAUGCGGAAGAGAAAGGAAAUGUUAGUAAGCGUCAACACUGACAGGAUUUUUUUUUUUUUAAUGGAGAAGAAAAUUAUACUAGUAAAGCCAAGACUUUGAUGAAGAAGAGACAGUGAAUGAUAUUUUAAUCUAUUUUGAUAUUUCUGCUUGGUCAAUACUAUUUCCAGAUGAAGAGAGUUAAUCCAGUUAAGAAAGGAAGUGAAUCUUUUUAGAAUAAAUAUGAACCUUUCUCUACAGUUCAAAGAAGAGGAGAAAAGAGCAAAGGAAGCAGUCAAUACUUGACAACUUCAUGAUUUUAUAAAUCCUUACCAAACACUGAAAAAAAAAGAUGCCAGUGUUCUCCAAUUGAAAUAAUUGUUUUUGUCUGUAGACUUUGGAUGUUGGGACAAAAAAAAUGAACAUCUAAUCUUGUAACUGACUUUAAACCUGGUAGAAAUUAAAAUCUGAGGUCUGGGAGAUAUCUGAACAAUAUCUCUCCAGCUGUUUUUGACCAUUAUUAAUUUUAUUUAAUGACUAUUACUGAAAAGUUUGUCAUGUCAAAGAGGGGAUAUCAAAAAAGGAUUCACUAAAGGUAUCAAAUUGAUGACUAUGUCAUUAUUCAUCAAUAAUAUCAAUAAUUCUUCUAAAGCAAUCAUUUUGAUGAUAGAUAUGAGUGGAGAUCAGCCCUGGGAUUUC